UACGUAGGGUGCGAGCGUUAAUCGGAAUUACUGGGCGUAAAGCGUGCGCAGGCGGUUUUGUAAGCCAGAUGUGAAAGCCCCGGGCUCAACCUGGGAAUGGCAUUUGGGACUGCAAGGCUGGAGUUUGGCAGAGGAGACUGGAAUUCCUGGUGUAGCAGUGAAAUGCGUAGAUAUCAGGAGGAAUACCGAUGGCGAAGGCAGGUCUCUGGGCUAUAACUGGACGCUCAUGCACGAAAGCGUGGGGAGCAAACAGG
rnacentral:rRNA from 1 species